UAUGGUCAUAUCUCAUUGAAACGGCGGUUCUCAUACGAUCAUCGAAGUUAAGCAACGUCGAUCCUAGUUAGUACCUAGUUGGGUGAUCGCUUGAGAAUAGUAGAUGCUGUAAG